rnacentral:piRNA from 1 species
UCCUGAGAGAACAUUUCCCUGCCCUCAC